ensembl:lncRNA novel transcript
GCAUUUAAUCCUUUUUUAACUGGGUGAGGUUGCCUCUUGGGACCCCCAGUUGAUAGAUGAGAAGCACCUGACUUUGAAAAGGAACCGAACUCAAGCAGGCUGCAUCCUAAGCCCGAUUUGCCAAGUUGUUUCUCAUUAAACCUAAACCAACUCUUCAGCCGCGCCGCCUCGGGGACCGUAAGCCCCGCUCUGGUGGACGCCUGGAGUCGCCGCCUCCCGAGAGUCCACACCCCAUCUUGUCUCCAGCCUGCGCUGGGAAGAAGCUGAGGUCUGGAGGUCUUCCUCUGAAGGAGCACAGUCCAGGGAGCCACAGAAGGCUGCCUUGAGGAGUGGAACUGCUUCAGGGAUCAAUGCAAAGUGUCCCCUGUCAGGAGAAAAACCACUCAGAGGAGGUAAAGGCCCAUGAGCCAUUCCUGAGCUGCUAGAACAAAUUUCCUAAGAUGGUUGAAUAGCAGGAAACAGAGACAAAAACAAAAAACAGAAAACACCAGAGGCAGGUUACACAAGAAAGCUCUCCUUAAGCAGGGAACACAGAAAAUAAACAUAAUUAGCACUACAUUCCUGGAGACAUAUCGUGAUUACACAGACAUCAAACUCAACUGGGCUUCUUGUGUGGGAUGCGCCCUUUUUAAAAUUUUGAUUGUAUUUAUGAGACAUUUAAAAAGUUAAACCUCUCAUAAAAUGUUGGAGAAAAAAGA